rnacentral:pre_miRNA from 2 species
GGAAACUUAAAAACUACCGUUGGAUCGAGAAAUGGACGUCCCAGAUUCGUCCACAUCAUCAUGAGUUAAAAUUUAACUCAUGAGUGAAUCCGCGAGUUAAAUUUUAACUCAUGGUGAUGUGGACGAAUCUUGGACAUCCAUUUCUCGAUCCAACGGUAGUUUCCACU